UACAGAGGUCCAGAGCGUUGUUCGGAUUCACUGGGCGUAAAGGGUGCGUAGGUGGUGAGGUAAGUCGGAUGUGAAAUCUCCGGGCUCAACCCGGAAAUGGCAUUGGAAACUACCUUGCUGGAGGAUUUGAGGGGGGAUUGGAAUACUUGGUGUAGCAGUGAAAUGCGUAGAUAUCAAGUGGAACACCAGUGGCGAAGGCGAAUCCCUGGAAAAUACCUGACACUGAGGCACGAAAGCUAGGGGAGCAAACAGG
rnacentral:rRNA from 1 species